rfam:Oryza meridionalis cultivar OR44 (W2112) chromosome 7, whole genome shotgun sequence.
AAUAUGUGCAGUUUUAUACUGUUUAUGUUAAACGUUUGACCGUUCGUCUUUUUUGAAAUUUUUUUAUGAUUAAUAUUUUUAUUGCUAUUAGAUGAUAAACCAUGAAUAGUACUUUAUAGGUGACUAAUUUUUUUAAAAAUUUUAUCAUAUAUUUUUUUAAAUAAGACGGAUGGUCAAACGUUGGACACGGAUAGCCACGGCUGCACUUAUU